ensembl:snRNA U6 U6 spliceosomal RNA
CUGCUCGUUUCGCAGCACAUAUACUAAAAUCGGAAAGAUACAGAGGAGAUUAGCAGGGUCCCUGCUGCAAGGAUGACACGCAAAUUCAUGACACGUUGCUUUUCUUU